GAAUCUGAAGCAACCUGGCUGUGACAUCUCUCACUCCAUUGGUCACCUUGGUUGAUACAGCCGAUCUGGCUGGCUAGUGGGUGCCCCCUUCCACCCUCGCCAUUCCAUAUGUCUCUCCUAAAGCUGUGUGCUCCACUGAGAGGAUGCUCUUCCCCGAAUAGAGGAGGACUGGUCUUCAGUUGAGGGUUAUACAUGUGGCUAUGUUUCCUGGCUAGAAUCUCCAAACAAACUCAGUGCUUAUUAAUUCUAAGUUUGAUGAACUUCAAGACUGUUCUCCAUGUCUUCUUGCUGGUUCUAUCAGGCACCUUUACCAGCAGAA
rnacentral:snRNA from 1 species